GUGCUUGCUUCGGCAGCACAUAUACUAAAAUUGCAACGAUACAGAGAAGAUUAGCCUGGCCCCUGCACAAGGAUGACACGCAAAUUGAGGCCCUACUGGGUUAG
rnacentral:snRNA from 1 species